GCUGAUAUCCAAAANUGAAAGAGGAUUGUAACUGGUUAGUACUUGGAUGGGAGACCACCAGGAAAUCCUAGUAGCGAUCAGCA
rnacentral:rRNA from 1 species